rnacentral:rRNA from 1 species
CCUGGUAGCGGGGGAUAACUAUUGGAAACGAUAGCUAAUACCGCAUAACAGUAGAUAUUGCAUGAUAUCUGCUUGAAAGGUGCAAAUGCAUCACUACCAGAUGGACCUGCGUUGUAUUAGCUAGUUGGUGAGGUAACGGCUCACCAAGGCGACGAUACAUAGCCGACCUGAGAGGGUGAUCGGCCACACUGGGACUGAGACACGGCCCAGACUCCUACGGGAGGCAGCAGUAGGGAAUCUUCGGCAAUGGACGGAAGUCUGACCGAGCAACGCCGCGUGAGUGAAGAAGGUUUUCGGAUCGUAAAGCUCUGUUGUAAGAGAAGAACGAGUGUGAGAGUGGAAAGUUCACACUGUGACGGUAUCUUACCAGAAAGGGACGGCUAACUACGUGCCAGCAGCCGCGGUAAUACGUAGGUCCCGAGCGUUAUCCGGAUUUAUUGGGCGUAAAGCGAGCGCAGGCGGUUAGAUAAGUCUGAAGUUAAAGGCUGUGGCUUAACCAUAGUACGCUUUGGAAACUGUUUAACUUGAGUGCAAGAGGGGAGAGUGGAAUUCCAUGUGUAGCGGUGAAUGCGUAGAUAUAUG